AACGAACGCUGGCGGCGUGGAUUAGGCAUGCAAGUCGUACGCGAAAGAGGGGGUAACUCCUCGAGUAGAGUGGCGAACGGGUGAGUAACGCGUGAGGAACCUGCCUUCAACAGGGGGAGUAACACUCCCAACGGGGUGGCUAAUACCGCAUGAGACCACGGGAUCGCAUGGUCCUGAGGUCAAAGGUGGCCUCUACUUGUAAGCUACCGGUUGAAGAUGGCCUCGCGUCCCAUUAGCUAGUUGGCGGUGUAAAAGACCACCAAGGCGACGAUGGGUAGCUGGUCUGAGAGGAUGGUCAGCCACACUGGGACUGAGAUACGGCCCAGACCUCG
rnacentral:rRNA from 1 species